CAUCCGGCCUGCCCGCAUCGCAACAAUUCGUUCACACAUCGAACCGCCCGCGGACGCUCUGAAACCCUAGCACAGUCCCGUGCCCACUCUGGCCCAUUACCAGUCGCACGCGCCGCCGCCGCUAUCUCCUCUCGAUCUCAUUCGCGUCGCCGCUGUCGCCACCUCCCGCUCCCCCACCCUCUACUCGAUCCCCACCUGUGUCGCCAUCUGCAUCCAACGAGAAGGCAGCGACGACCGCGGCGGUGGAGGCGGCCGAGACGAUGAUGGUUGUGGCCACCCUUGCGUUAGCAGCAGAGGCAGUCGCAGUUCGCUCACUCGAUCAACAUAAUUUUUCUUCUCCCGACUGUGUUGCGAUUGUUGAGGUGGCAGCGAUGAGGUGGCGGAGAGAUUGCAGAGGCGAUCGCUUGGCAAUGGCCAGGCGAUCUGUAGGUUUGAUCUGUUCCUUCAUUCAAUUUUGCUUUCACAUGCCAAAUUAGUUCGAUUAGUUCUGUCCUGCUUCCGUAUUUUUGUGUUGGUGAGGAGCCGGUUCUAGGUUUUUGUUUGGCGAUUGCUUGGCGAUGGCGUUGAGAUCUAGAGGUUCUAUCUGUUCCUUCGUUCGAGAUCUCUCUCAUAUGUGCAAUUAGUUCGAUCUAUUCUAUGUAUAGCUUCCCUGUUUUGCUUCUAUUUCGUGCUUGUGAGGAUCCGGUUUUCGGGAUUUGUAAGUUCAUUUCUUAUUUUAUUCAGGCAACUGGCUGAUGAUUUUGAUGUUCGAUCUAUUCAUUUCAUUGAUUUUGUUGUCGGCUGUUCUUGUAUUUCGAUUAGACCUCUAUGGUUCUCCAUUUCCUGUGCUGCAAUCUAGGUUUAUCUAUAUUUGUUCCACUGAUUUAGUGGUUGUUCUAAUUUUUCAUUUAAUUAUGUCAUGUCCUCCAUUUCAUGUUGGUUUCUGUGUGAUAAAUUAUUAGUUUCGUUUGUUUGUUCCUCUGAUGCUGUUAGAUGUAGGUUCCAUUUUUAUGCUUAGUCUUACAUGAUUAUAUGCUUUUCAUUUAGAAAUGGAUGAAGGUGAUGAGGACCCACUGGUUCUAUUCAAGCACCAUUUUUGCAUGUAGCCACUUGUACAUUUCUGAUGUCACUUGGUUUCCAUUUUUUCUUCUUUUUUCCUGUUACGAUAAACAAUGUUCCAUGUAGCCAUUUCAUAUGUUCUGCAUUACUAUAUAUAAUGUUCCUUUCAAUAUUUAGCUUUGUUCCACGCUGCACCUUUUUUUUUCCAUUUUUCGGGCCAACCCAUAUAAUAUGCCAUAUCCGUUUAUGGAUUGUAUUGUUCCUUACUACUUGAUUACUUGUUCCAUAAAUUAUAUUUUCAUUGCAAAUUUAAAUCCAAAUGUUCGCAAUUCUGCCGAAUUCAUUGUGGAAUAGAAACUUAUCCAUUGCAUUUGUUGAUCAGGUCAUUAGGAAAUAAACUCUGAGGUCAGGACAUACAAUAGCAGAUAAUUGUCCUCGACUGUUUCGUUGUUAUGCUGAUUGUGAUGAACCUGGGAUUUUGUCAAAUUUCAGGGUGCAAACAUUCUUGUCGAUAACAAAGGGUGCAUCAAACUUGCAGAUUUUGGGGCUUCUAAGCAAGUGGCAAAGUUGGCUACUGUGACAGCCGCUAAAAUAAUGAAAGGAACACCAUAUUGGAUGGCACCCGAAGUCAUUGUUGGGAGUGGGUAUAGCUUGUACGUCGAGAAACUCUUCCAGUGCCUGGUUUCUUGCUUUUUCGGGUUUGGUUAAGGCCCAAAUUUUGUCUUCUUUUCUCGUUUUGCUAUAAUUGAUCUCUCAGGAAUAUCUUUUUGUCUAUUUAUUGAGUCAAAGAGUUGAUACGUUGGGAAUUGGGAUUAACCUGCUAAUUUAAAGAUUUAGUAAAAAAUGUACUAUUCCCCUGUUUACUUUACUCUACAGACUGGCAAGUAAUCCUUCUAAAAAAAAAGGAUUGGGGAGUAAUAGCUACAUGCGUUCCUGUACCCUUGCUACUGACAGGACUUUUUUUUUAGGAAGUGCUGAGAGGACUGAAGUGCAUGAGCUAUUGGAUCUGGUUUUCUGAACAACUCUCAAAAUGAGUCAUGUAUUCACAUGAGUUUUCUGUUUUCUCAUCCAUUUGUAAUGACAGGGAGUCCAAUAUGAGAUUAGAUUGACAUGUAGAGGUCACCUCAGUUGUGUUUGAUAUGAUUACACUUAGUUGUGUUUGAUAUGGGUACAAUAACUCAGUUGCAAUGUAGAUGGUACUACAAAGAAGGGAGCCUGAAGUAGCAAUAGAAAGGGAGAAAGUGAAAGGCUGAUAGAUUCAAGAUUUCAAGCUGUAAAAGGAUUUCAUUUGUCCUGAUCAAAUUGUUAAAACUGUGUGGUCUUUAUGUCAUUAUGAAUUAUUUGUUCUUUCUGA